CGAGUCGACCGGACGGUCGCCGGCAUCGGCAACGAUGCGGGAGGAAAGUCCGGGCUCCGUAGGACAGGAUGGUCGGUAACGCCGACCGGUCGCGAGACCCGGGACAGUGCCACAGAGAACAGACCGCCGAACGGCUUCGCUUGCGAGGUGCGUGGUAAGGGUGAAACGGUGAGGUAAGAGCUCACCAGCGGUCGAGGUGACUCGAUCGGCUAGGCAAACCCCAUCCGGAGCAAGGUCAAGCAGAGGGGAGUCGCGCGGUUCGCCGCGCGGCACGUCGCGGUCCGCGGCGUCCGACUCUCGGGUAGGCUGCUCGAGAACGCGGGCAAUCGCGUUCCUAGAGAAAUGACCGUCACCGCGUCGGCAACUUGCUUGCAGGUCGCCGAGUCGCGGAACAGAACCCGGCUUACAGGUCGGCUCGCUCU
rnacentral:RNase_P_RNA from 1 species